rnacentral:rRNA from 1 species
CAGCCGCCACGGGAAUACAGAGGGUGCGAGCGUUAAUCGGAUUUACUGGGCGUAAAGCGUGCGUAGGCGGCUUUUUAAGUCGGAUGUGAAAUCCCUGAGCUUAACUUAGGAAUUGCAUUCGAUACUGGGAAGCUAGAGUAUGGGAGAGGAUGGUAGAAUUCCAGGUGUAGCGGUGAAAUGCGUAGAGAUCUGGAGGAAUACCGAUGGCGAAGGCAGCCAUCUGGCCUAAUACUGACGCUGAGGUACGAAAGCAUGGGGAGCAAACAGGAUUAGAUACCCCGGUAGUCCCUGUCUCUUAUAC